GUUUUUUUAAUAUACAGUCAUCACCUGCCAAACCCCUCCUGUACCAUCCUAUGGUUCUGUGGACAUCAAACCCCCAAGUAGGACAAACUCAAUAAGUCGUAUUGGGUCGCCAUUCUUGAGGUUGCCACGGUUACCCCUCCCUUUAGCCAGAGCAGCCAAACCUCCUCCAAAAGCCAGAUCCUCACCACCCUCUACUGUGGACUUGGCUUCCAAGGUCAAACUGCCUGAAGGUCAUUACCGAGUGGGAUCUCGAGCCAGUUACACGUGCGAGUCAAGAUACUACGAACUGCUUGGAUCCCAAGGUAGAAGAUGCAACUCUAAUGGAAAGUGGAGUGGUCGACCAGCAAGCUGUAUACCAGUUUGUGGACGGUCAGACUCUCCCCGUUCUCCUUUCAUCUUCAAUGGAAAUUCCACCGAAAUAGGUCAGUGGCCGUGGCAGGCAGGAAUCUCUAGAUGGCUUGCAGAUUAUAAUAUGUGGUUUCUUCAGUGUGGAGGAGCCCUACUGAAUGAGAAAUGGAUCAUUACUGCAGCCCACUGUGUCACCUACUCUGCUACUGCCGAGAUCAUUGACCCAAGUCAGUUUAAAUUCUACCUGGG